rnacentral:rRNA from 1 species
AUACGGAGGAUCCGAGCGUUAUCCGGAUUUAUUGGGUUUAAAGGGUGCGCAGGCGGCCAUUUAAGUCAGCGGUUAAAUCGUGGGGCUCAACCCCAUUCUGCCGUUGAUACUGGGUGGCUUGAUUGCGGUCGAGGUUGGCGGAAUUCGUUGUGUAGCGGUGAAAUGCAUAGAUAUGACGAAGAACACCGAGUGCGUAGGCAGCUGACCAGCCCGAGAAUGACGCUCAUGCACGCAAGUGCGUGGACCGAACAUGAUUAGAUACCCUGGUAGUCCUCACAGUAAGCGAUGAAUACAUGUUUUCUGCGAUAUAAUAUCAGAGGCAAAGCGAAAGCAAUAAGUAUUCCACCUUGGGAGUACGCCGGCACCGGUGAUGCUCAAAUAAAUUGACGGGG